UUCUUUACAGAAAAGAAUUUGCCACCUCCCGAUCAAGAACUGUGAAGAGUCGAAGAUUCUAUUUUCCUUGCAAGCUGAUUGAUUAGUUUGCAAGUUUCAUGAAUGCUGACACAGAGACAACACACCUGGAUCAACAAUGAGGGGUUUUAUUACUGAAAGCAGUCACCAGACUGUCAACACAGGUGAACUGGUCUCCUGAGCCCCAGUUCCAACAGGCUGGAGUGCAGUGCCACGAUCUCAGCUCACUGAAGCACUGAUCUCCCAGGCUCAAGCAAUCGUCCCAGCUCAGCCCCAUGGAAGUAGCUGAGACUACAGGUGCCCCUGGUGAUACGUGUUUGCAAGUCAUUGACACAAGUGAAGUUUCCACCAAGAUUCAGCUCAGACCUUGCUGUUGCAGGCUAAGAUCCUCAGCCCUCAGGUGUGGCCUUCACAUCUGGCAUCUUGUGUCUUCUCCUGAUCAGGGCCCCCAGGCACACAAUGAGGAGGAAUGAGGUGUCCUGGCAUCCUUCCAUCAUCUGAUCAGACUUGUAUUGUUCCUUGACGGAACUGCUGGCUAACUGCUGGCUAGCUGCUAGCAGUUCCUUUUAUGGUCUGUCUGCUUAUCUAGUUGUCGAUUAGAGGAAAUGUCUACAAGAAGAUACCAGGCAGAGGCCCUAUGAUUCUAUCCGUUUGCUGGCCCUGGGGGCUGGGAAGUUCACAAGGUCUCUUCAGACCAUUGAACCAACUUUGUCUUGACUCUCCAUUAAAAAUUAUACACAGAUACCCUCCUUAGUUUGUCUUUAUGUUCGUAUUUGUGUAAUUCUAUCUUCUUGGAAUCAGGAGGCCUGUCCACCCCACAUUUGGUGACCAUUAACCGUUGGCCAAUUUAUAAAGACACGAGUUACACAAACAUCAUUAUAGGGAACGUUGAAGUACUCACUGGGCCCUCUUAAUUAAAACCUGCUUACUUCCCUUAUGUUUUCACACUACGAUGUUAACUUGUAUGUUUCUCUAACUGGUACAGUUUUACCAGACACUAUUUGGGAUUACAAUACCCACUUUAGCUAUUUUUUAUAUAAAUAAGAUUGUUCAUAUGAGAGGUGCUUUAGAACAAUAAGUCAGGAAGCCUUCAUGAGGAAAUUUUGUUUGUCUAAUAAAGAGAGAGUAUUUCAUUUAACA
rnacentral:lncRNA from 13 species